GACGAACGCUGGCGGCGUGCCUAACACAUGCAAGUCGAACGGAAAGGCCCUGCUUUUGUGGGGUGCUCGAGUGGCGAACGGGUGAGUAACACGUGAGUAACCUGCCCUUGACUUUGGGAUAACUUCAGGAAACUGGGGCUAAUACCGGAUAGGAGCUCCUGCUGCAUGGUGGGGGUUGGAAAGUUUCGGCGGUUGGGGAUGGACUCGCGACUUAUCAGCUUGUUGGUGGGGUAGUGGCUUACCAAGGCUUUGACGGGUAGCCGGCCUGAGAGGGUGACCGGCCACAUUGGGACUGAGAUACGGCCCAGACUCCUACGGGAGGCAGCAGUGGGGAAUAUUGCACAAUGGGCGGAAGCCUGAUGCAGCAACGCCGCGUGCGGGAUGACGGCCUUCGGGUUGUAAACCGCUUUCGCCUGUGACGAAGCGUGAGUGACGGUAAUGGGUAAAGAAGCACCGGCUAACUACGUG
rnacentral:rRNA from 1 species